rnacentral:rRNA from 1 species
AUGCACCCUGUGUCGAUCUCCUUUCAACCCUUCACUGCAACUCCCGCGGGCGAUUUUCCCUCGAGGACCACUAAUGUGAGGUCUCGCGGUGAUUUUGUCAAGUUGCCAACAGUUGGAAGAAGUAGUGGAUACCGUGCCAUGAAUUCCGGACCAAAUUCUGCUUCCAGGUCUGCAACGACUGGGGAACAGGAUUUUGCUGUGGGAGAGAAUGAUGGUGUGAUCAUAGUCGACCAUGGGUCACGGCGACAGGAAUCUAAUCUCAUGCUAAACGAUUUUGUUACUAUGUUCAGGGCAAGGACUGGAUACAGGAUUGUUGAGCCUGCUCACAUGGAGCUCGCUGAGCCUACCAUUAAAGAAGCAUUUGGAAAAUGUGUCCAGCAAGGCGCAUCCCGCAUUAUUGUCAGCCCAUAUUUCCUUUCACCUGGACGGCACUGGAAACAAGAUAUACCUUCUUUAGCAGCAGAAGCCUCUAAAGAGCACUCUAACGUGGCCUACAUUGUCACUGCUCCUCUUGGAUUGCAUGAGCUUAUGGUGGAUGUUAUGAAUGAUCGCAUCAAGUACUGCCUGAGGCAUGUUGCAGGCGAUGCCGGUGAGUGUGCAGUAUGUGCUGGGACUGGAAAGUGCCACCUCUACUCCUGA